rnacentral:rRNA from 1 species
CAGCAGCCGCGGUAAUACGAAGGGGGCUAGCGUUGUUCGGAUUUACUGGGCGUAAAGCGCACGUAGGCGGACUUUUAAGUCAGGGGUGAAAUCCCGGGGCUCAACCCCGGAACUGCCUUUGAUACUGGGAGUCUUGAGUUCGAGAGAGGUGAGUGGAAUUGCGAGUGUAGAGGUGAAAUUCGUAGAUAUUCGCAGGAACACCAGUGGCGAAGGCGGCUCACUGGCUCGAUACUGACGCUGAGGUGCGAAAGCGUGGGAAGCAAACAGGAUUAGAUACCCCAGUAGUCCCUGUCUCUUAUAC